rnacentral:rRNA from 1 species
UGUCCCAGCCGCCGCGGUAAUACGUAGGGUGCGAGCGUUAAUCGGAAUUACUGGGCGUAAAGCGUGCGCAGGCGGCUUUGUAAGACAGGCGUGAAAUCCCCGGGCUCAACCUGGGAAUGGCGCUUGUGACUGCAAGGCUGGAGUGCGGCAGAGGGGGAUGGAAUUCCGCGUGUAGCAGUGAAAUGCGUAGAUAUGCGGAGGAACACCGAUGGCGAAGGCACUCCCCUGCGCCUGCACUGACGCUCAUGC